rnacentral:lncRNA from 1 species
AUGAUGUGCCCACAGCCACCCCACCCUGGUGAGGAGAGAUCCAAACUCUGGACCCCCAGAGCUCGUGAAUCCCAGAGCCGAGAAAACUCAGGGGAAGGGGAGGCAGCAGCCAUCAGAGGUGAACGCCCUAGGGGCCCCGACCCCGACAACGUGAAUCAGACCAUUUCCAGAAAGCUGGAAGAAGCAGCUUUGUGCCCAGGACACCUGGGCUGGGACCCAGCACAGCCACAUAGGGGGCCCCUCAAAGCCCCCUCUUCCAGGAAGCCUUCCUGGGUCAAGGCUCUCCCCCUCCCCCACUCAGAGAUGCCUGCCUCUGGUCUCCACCGCCUCCCACCGAGCCGCACUCACCGGGGCCGGCUGCCCCCCAGGCCCCCCACAAGGAGCACAGGCCCCCCAGGCCUGGGACCAGCACGUUCCCCUCCCCCCGCCUCAAGCAGAGUCAGCCGAAUGGGACCAGGAAGAGUCUGCUUUGCUGUGGCCGGUGCUGACACCCCUGGGCGGGGGCAGCUCCCAGAGCCGGGCCGGGGCCACCACCUGGACGGGGCCAAGCGCCCGCAGAGCCUCGGAGACCCCUCUGGCCGCCGAGCGGAGCCUUGGAGACCUUCUCUGGCCACUUCGCGGCUGCUUUGCCCCCAUUUCCUGGCCAGUGCAGCUCAUGCGGCCGGGCCGGGCCUUCGGAAAAGAGAACUAAGAAAAAAGGGGCUGAUGGGCAGGAAACGGAAGCCGCCGCAUCCCCAAGUCCCGGAGACUCUGAUUCACUCAAGCAAAGGAGUCCUCAGGAUGCGAGCUCCCCCCGAACCCCCAGGAGAGCUCAGGCCCAGAGUCGGGGUUUCCGGAGCCUCGCAUCCUUCUGACCCUGGUGCGGGCAGGGUCCCCCAUCCCCGAAAGCCCCAGGGUGCCGGCUGUGCCCGGGAGACCUCCCACUGCCGCCAGCCAGCCAGCCCCACCAAGGUCAGGCCUGGGCUGCCCCUCCGGCCAGGGGGCAACUUCCUGAAUUACAUUUCUGUAUUCAUUUGA